GCUGGGUGUGGUGGCACACACCUGUAAUCCCAGCUACUUGGGAGGCUGAGGCAGAAGAAUCACUUGAGCCCAGGAGGCAGAGGUUGCAGUGAGCCAAGAUCGCGCCACUGCACUCCAGCCUGGAUGACAGAGUGAGACUCUGUCUCAA
ensembl:misc_RNA Metazoa_SRP Metazoan signal recognition particle RNA